GCUUGAGAUGAUACGUCUCGCCGACAUCACCACCCCACGCCGGCCAGGAAGGUUAGGGGAUGAGGAUCAGACACAAGGUCGAGGCAUGCGCCGCCUCACGGAAGAGACAUCUCUACAGGAAAAAGCGAUGCAUCGUUCUGAUAUUACAGCCAAGCUCGUUUCCUAUAUAUAUAUAUAAAAUGGAAAAAGGCACCAAGUACUGAGCAAGGAGGAAAUGCUAGCACGGACUCUUCCAACAUCAGCAAGGUCGGAACCAAAGGCGACAUGGAGGCUGGGAAAAAGGAGCGGGCACGACAGGGAGUAGCACUUCGAUUUGGGAAAAUUACCCUAGAGUAAUUGGCUAAGCAGAUGAAAAAUAUAAGGGGAAACAAAGUGUCUCAACUCAAUGUCAAAGAUUCAAGUCCUUAAAGAUAGGCAUGAUGAGAGCUUUGUUGGUAAUAAACUACACAAUGACUAAAGACGAAGUAGCUAGAGGAAGGAGCUUCUCGAAGUCGCAACGAGGAUGACCAACUCCGGUUUACAGGGAGUAAACUAAGUAUCGUCUUACGGCAAAAUGUUUGAUGGAUGAUCAAUUUUUGGGAAACAAAGGAUACUAAUAAGGAUAGUGGAUCUUCGUAGGGAUGUCUUCACUAGUGCAUCAAGAGUUCGAGAAAGACACCUGCGCGAUAGACCAAAGGGGACAAAGCCGUAAACCCCACUACGACGCAGUGGGUAACAUGGUACCUGCCCUCUUCCCGGAUGAGGAGGAAAUAGAAUUCGUGGAGCAGCCGAACGCCCACAUCUGGGAGACAACUGUGAGGCGUCAGGUACUGAUGCCCCAUUUCCAGAAGGCGGCAGAGUAGAGUAUAGGCGGAUGUACCAAAGCCAUGGGACUAUCCAGUUCGCGCCUGAAGUCGAAACAACACCGGCCAAGAUGGGCCAUGGGCACCCAAGGAAGUUCGGAUUGACCGGGGAAGGUCUUGGACCGUUUAGGAUGGAGGUCAGUGUGCCAACAAGGGAGCAUGGACGACCAAGGAAAAUUCCUAGCAUUGAUGCGGACCGUCUGAGGAGCAUAACCGGAGUAUGUCAGUGUGGGACACUGAUGCAUGCCAAGCAAGAACCACGCUCAGUCCAGGAGUACACCGAGGAAUUCCGGGAGACAGCCAAAAGAUGCAAGCCAAAGACAUUGGAGGAUUGGUACCGAUGGUAUAUGGCAGGGUUCUGUGGGGAAAUUCAGGGCAAGCUGAUGGGUGUGUUCGAACCAUGGAAUUCGCUCUGGAGAACCGGAUAUUCGGUCAAGCGAUGGAGGCAGAGCGAACACUUACUGUCGGGUCGUCGCUAUCUAGAGAUCUAAGGGAGAAGUGGAAGUGGAAGAGGAUCUGCGGAAGACAUCGAUUAUGGAUGAAAGAACCUCAGGAGGAUGUACCGAGCCAUGCAAGUGUGAGAUCCUUGUUGAGAUAGUGUGUAGGCCACGCCUGGUCCAAGAGUACACUAAGGAGUUCUUAGACAUGGCCGAGAAAUGCAAGUCGAAGCCUGCGGAGGGGUAGUGCCGGUGUUAUAAGGCGAGACUCCGUAGGGACAUUCGAGGAGAGCUGAAUGGAGCCAUGGAAUCUAUGGAAUUUGCCUUAGUGGUGAGGAUGGCAGGGAUGGCGAUGGCAGCAAAGGCGUGGUUGUUAAACAUGUUAUUUAUGUCACAAGUGCUGAACAGGAAGAGAAUCCAUCAGAAGAUUAACAAUAGGAGGAUUAUCUGGAACCGUCAGCUAGAGGUGUCCGAGUGUUUGGUUAUUACUCGAGGCAGAAACACGCUUCUCCACUUUGUAGAGACUAGAUAUGAUCUUGAAAACAUCCCGUAUGAGUAGGAAUUAUGUUCUUCCUUAUUUACGUGGGAGUUUUCGAAAGAAGAUCCUUAAGAAAAUAUUGUGUGCCUCCCUUGAAUGUGUUUGAACUCACCCCGGGUUUUGGGAUGUUAGUGUUCAAAGCCUGAAGAUGGGAAUUCGGGGCGAAUUCCGAUUAACAGGGGGAGAAUUGUAACACCCCAAAACUCAAACCCAAAAAGUUUUUGUGGUUUAAAAGGAAAGGCCCGCUCUGCAGCCCAUUAAGAUUAAAACCCUAGGGUUUCCUUGCCUUCUUCUAUAAAUAUAAAGCCUCCACCCCUUAGUCUCCCAUCAGAAACUUUGAAGCGAAGCUCUGCAGAGAAAUCCCGGAGACCGGAAGCCCUAGCCGUCGAUGAUCUUUCUCUCUCCCUGCGCUGCCUCUCUUGCUUUUCUCCCUCCUCGCCGCGUCUCUCUCCUCUCUCUCUCCUCACGAUCUCUCUCUCUCCCGGUCGAAUCUCUCUCUCUCCUUGCCGUUAGCAGCCGCGAGUGGUGGUGGUGGCCGCGUGGUGUCGUAGAUCUCAGAUCCCGUUUCUCUUACCCCUUAUUUUCAGAUCCAGAUCCGGAUCUAGGCUAAGAACUAUAAGUGGAAAUGUCGACGGUAAGAAAGGAAACGCACCUGAAACUCAUGGGACCAGAAACGGGACACACGGAGAUGUCGGGAAAGUAGACAUGUGUGUCCUAAACCCCGCGCCCUGGAACCCCGGUUGGAAAUAGGGAGGAACGGGUGUUUCAAUUUUUUCACAGAUACUGAAGUCACGGUUGUCUUCAUUCAGGAAGUAAUAAAACUCUUCUCGCACCAUAGUGUCAUCGUAAUAAGGUCUUGACUAGCUUGUUUGGAAGGAGUUAUUUCGUCUGUCUGGUACCAAACUGUGUCUUAGUACAGACUACCACCCUCAGUCCGAUGAAAAAACUGAGGUGACCAACCAAGGAAAGGAAACAUAUUUGAGAUGUUUCUCUAGUGACAAGCCCGAACUUGGUAUGAGUACUUAGCUUAGACUGAAUUGAGCUACAACUCUUCUUUCCAUGCAAUCAUCGAAAUAACUCCCUUCAAAGCAUUGCAUAGAAGAAAUCUAUCAUCCCUGCCGAAGUACAAAAAUGGGUCUACAUCCAACGUAGAGUUGGAGAACAACUCUUAGAGAGAGAUGCAGCUUUAGCCUUACUACGUGAGCACUUUCAUAAAGCUUAAUAGGCUAUGAAAGAAAAGCUGAUGGAAAGAGAUGUGAGGUUAUGUUUGAGGUAGGUGAUUUGUUCUACUUGAAAAUCAAACCAUACUACGUAUGCAUGAAUGAGAAAUUGGCGGCUAGGUUCUACGGGCAGUUUGAAGUGGAAGCUAGAGUGGGACAGUCGCUUAUAGAUUUAAGUUACCUCUAGAGGUGAAGAUUCACAACACAUUCCAUGUCUCUCAGCUAUAGAAAUUUGUAGGAGAUUCUCCGGAGGUAAUCCCUAUUACUUCAGAUCUCUCGGCUGAUUGUUGCUGAGUCAGUGGCUUUUUGGGGUUCAAGGAUCAAGGCAGCUACUAAACAAGUGUAAAGGGCCAAGGAUUAACGCAGCUAAUAAGCAAGCAUAGGUACUGAUUAAGUGGAAAGUGAUAUCAGCCCAUGAUUAUACUUGGGAGUGGAAGAUUACAAUCAGCAAACAGUUUCCUUCCUUAGAUCUUGAGGACAAGGUCAAUUUCGUUGAUCAGGGUAUUGAUACAUUUGAAUCAUGUUACCUUCCUGUCCUUUGCAAGUACUCUCACAGGAAGGCUCACAAAGAGUAAGCGCCAAACGUCUAAGGAAGCCCAGGAGGAAAGGGUAUGUGAGGGUCUGAGGGGCAAGGUUAUAAGCAGGUUCUAAAAGGAGAUAAGAAAUAAUGGUUGUGCUGAUUCAGAGAUAUUAGCACAUGAGGUUUAUACUCACGGUGAGAGUGUGGAUGACCUAACCAUAAUAACUUUGUAAAGGUGAAGAUGUCAUUUGGAUCAUUGUAAGCAAGGAAAGAGUCUCUUGAGUGUGUUUUUCUUUGUAAACCUCUUUUCAUUCAAUGUAAAGUAUCCCAUUUACAUUCUUAUGCUUAUCACAGAAGUUUGAGUAUCAAGAUCAUAACAACUGGUGAUGACUUUCUGGGAUUCAGCAUGUAUGGAAGAAAAACAGCGAGGAAACUUGUGAGAGAACAUGGUUCUCUGGAGAGUUUACUAUGCCGCUGUAAGAACCUUAGGAAGACCAUAUGCUCUUACGAAAUAUGCUGAGAAGAAACUAUCAAGUUCUUGCCCUGAAAGGUUCUCCCUUCAUCUAGAUUAUUAUGCUUCUCUUGGAAGACAUUUUUACCGAUUUCGUAAGAAAAAAUUUAUCAUCGAAAUGUGAGGGUACAGAUUCAAGAGGAAUGAGCUGGUGGAGAGAGAUACAAGCAAUGAUUAAGAGAAGUAGUGUCAAGUUUUUUCUCAACCUUGCAUAGAUGAUAUUCAAAAACUUUCUUUUUACCAUUCAAAAGUAGAACUCGUUGGAGUCAACACAGUCAUGCUCAAGAACUGAUCGCAAGUUUUUCCUCACUUAAAUCUAGUUCGUUAGUUCGUGGAGUAUCGUCAUUGUAGUUGCAUACUUUUAGUUUAACGGUGUAACACCUCUAGGCUAUAUCAAAUUUGUUGGUAUAUUCCAUAAAAAUCAAAGAGUUAGUUUUCUAAAAAUUGUUUGUAAACAGUUGGUUCCACCAACGUGAACCGUUAACGGUAAGGGGAGGAAAAAAAGAAUCUAAACUUUCUUAUAUUAUUACAUGACAUAAGAAAAGGAAAUCCACUUUUUGCUCUCCUGAUAUUAUUCUAGAAAAAAACAAAUUACAGACAGAAAAGGAGCUGCCUAGAGGCUAAAAGGCUAAGAACAA